GAUGAAGAACGUAGCGAAAUGCGAUAAGUAAUGUGAAUUGCAGAAUUCAGUGAAUCAUCGAAUCUUUGAACGCACAUUGCGCCCCUUGGUAUUCCGGGGGGCAUGCCUGUUCGAGCGUCAUUAUAACCCCUCAAGCUCAGCUUGGUGUUGGGGCCUGCCGACUGGCAGCCCUUAAAAUCAGUGGCGGCGCCAUCUGGCUCUAAGCGUAGUAAUUUCUCUCGCUAUAGAGUCCCGGUGGAUGCUUGCCAGCAACCCCCAACUUUCUAGGGUUGACCUCGGAUCAGGUAGGGAUACCCGCUGAACUUAAGCAUAUCAAUAAGCGGAGGA
rnacentral:misc_RNA from 1 species